UGCAGGGGGAGGGAUGCAGAUGGCUGAAGGGGUACCUGUGAAGAGGGGUUUCUCUCCCUUCUUUAGAAGGGACUGGAUGGGAUCAGGGUGUGUGCUAGACACAGGAAAGAGACAUGAAAGUAAUGGAUACACUUGUCCCAGUAGGAACUGGGUGAUGAAACAGAAUAUGGAGGUUCCUCUAGUGCACUGUAAAGUUGAGAAAUUAUGUGAAGUCAUCCAAACAGCCUCUCAUCACUAUGCUGAUUCCUGGAAGAUGUAAAUUGUAAGACAAAGUCUCUCCUUAAAAGGAUUAGGCACUGAGGUAGAGGAGGCAUGAAUAUAAAGGAAAGGUAAAUUUAAAAGAGGGAAAGUCACGGCAUGAAGACAAAAAUACAGUGGAAGUCUCUCUAGCAAUGCCAGAGAGGCCAUGUGGAAAAGAGGGGGGAGGUUCUGGAAUCAGACAGAACAAGGUUCAAAUCCCAAAUUCAGAUAUGCUACUUCUACAUUUGUGACCUUAGGAAGUCCUCCAACCUCUCUGAGCCUUAGUGUCCACAUUUACAAAUAGCACCUAUUCCAUAUUUAUUUGUACAUAGGGGUUGUCCUAAGAGUUAAGUAGCAGACUGGUAUAAAAUUCUUAGGUUCAGUAUUUAGGGCACAAUAAGUGGCUUAAUAAAAGUUUGGUGGAUGAUGAUGGUGGUGGUGGUACAAGCAGGUACAGGGUGAUUAGUGGUAUUUAGGGUUGAAAGGUGAAAGAGAUUAGUGCAGGUGGAAUUGUUCAGGUAGACUCUACUCUGGGACCAGAAGGGACAGAUGUGGGUGGAGAGGCGUGGGGAGAGCAUUCAGCUGGGGGAUGGCAGGGGCUAGUAUGAAGUACUGUGUACUGGAAAGCAAGGGACCUGUCUGGGGAAGCACGAGUAGAAUAGAAUGUGGGUUGUAAAACUAUUUCAACUAUUUCAGUUCUUUUUUACCUUUUUUUUAUCAUUUUAUUAAAAUUUUCCCAUCUUCAAAAUAUAGAAAGAAUAGCCACCAUAAACUUAUUACUGAGAUUCAGACAUCCAACCAUAAUCGAUAUUUUACCCUAUUUGCUCCAUAUAUAUGUACAUUGCUGAUUUAAGUACAUAUAUCAUUAUAUAUUAUAUAUAUUUAUAUAUAUUUAUUUAUAAAAUUGCUGAAUCAGGGGCGCCUGGGUGGCUCAGUGGGUUAAAACCUCUGCCUUUGGCUCAGGUCGUGAUCCCAGGGUCCUGGGAUCGAGCCCCACAUUGGGCUCUCUGCUCAGCGGGGAGCCUGCUUCCUCCUCUCUCUCUCUCUCUGCCUGCCUCCCUGCCUACUUGUGAUCUCUGUCUGUCAAAUAAUAAAAAAAAAAGAAAUUGCUGUAUCAUUUCAAAAUAAUUUAUAGAAAUCCUACAAAACAGGAACCAACAAGUGUUGGCAAGAAUGUGGAGAAAGGGGAACCCUCUUGCACUGUUGGUGGGAAUGCAAGUUGAUACAGCCACUGUGGAAACAGUGUGGAGAUUCCUCAAGAAGUUAAAAAUAGAGCUACCUAUGACCCAGCAAGUGCACUACUAGGUAUUUACCCCAAGGAUACAGAUGUAGUGAAAAGAAGGGCCACAUGCACCCCAAUCAUCAUAGCAGCAAUGUCCACAAGAGCCAAACUGUGGAAGGAGCUGAGAUGCCCUUCAACAGAAUGGGUAAAGAAGAUGUGGUCCAUAUACACAAUGGAAUAUUAUUCAGCCAUCCGAAAAGAUGAAUAUCCACCCUUUGCAUCAACAUGGAUGGAACUCAGGAUUAUGUUAAGUGAAGAUUCCAAGCUGUAGGUGAAGGGGAGAGACAAAAGUGCCUGUUGGGAGGAAAGAAAUGAACAUCGUAUUCUACUCCUCCAGCCUGAAGGCCUGGCAGCGAGAGAAGAGCCAGGGCCCCCCGGAGACACUGGUGCACAUGAACACUAGGAGAAAAGACCUAAACUGGGCCCAGGCUGGAAGAUACCUCUUGAAGCAUUGUCCCAGGGAAGCUGUAUGCAAGGUCACAAUGACAGAGCUCUGACGGAAGGACUUGGGGCUGUACCAAAAAUGGCACUGGCCAAAAGAACCAACCAAGGCAAUCUGGAUCCAAUGUGAGUUGUGUCCGGGCAAGGGUUGUUCCAUAAAGACCAAAGAAAAAAGGGCAAGGGCUUAGCUGAGGCCCUCAGCUCAGGGCCCACCUGUGAACUCCAGGGAGCCAGGCCGACCACAUGGAAGACUUUACUCUGCUCCAGGUGGGCCAAGGGAGUCCUGAAUCUUAGCAGACAGAAUGACCUUUGCUUUUGUUUCUAUCCUGAAGCCCCAGUGCAAGGGUUGAAUGUUACUACUUCAAGGCAGCAAAAGUCCCAUCUACCAGCCACAGAGGAAAGGAGCUGGGAACAUGCAGGCGUAUCAUACCCCUGACAAUGGGGCACCGCUUAGAAAAUGGGAUGGAAAAUGGAAAUGGAAAUUUAGGAAAAUGGAAUCUGAGAAUCAGCAGCCUCUUCCUCAGAGUUGAAGGAAUGGGAUCAACAGAAGUCCAUCCCUACGCAGAACUGUUGGGGAAUGAGAGUCAUGGGCCCGCUGCUGCUGGUGAUUGUUCUGAUAUACGAAUCCAUCCUGAACAAGGGCCUUGUGGGUUCUUGGUCUUGUUUAUCUCUCUCCAUAAAGCCUGGGGCUCAGGUAAGUGGGGGCCAGGGACAGGCUUGGGUGGAAAGGAAUGAGGGUGGAAAGGAAAGAAGGUGGUACCUGCAGAUGUGGGUUUAGAGGAAUCAGCUCCCAGGGGUUCCCCAGAGCCUGUUUCCGUCUUUCCUCACUUCUGUGCUCAGAAGUCUUUGGAGAGGAGGCCCACCCCUGGGAAUGAUGUGAAGGGGGCUGGGCUGGCUCCUUGGGAUGCGUGGGAGGGGCAGGAUGAGGAUUUUCGUUACUGGGAACCCAGUCUUUUCUUCAGAGGAGGGAGGAAGACGCAGGCCUGAGCUGGCUUGAAUGCGUCAUUUUCUUUUCUUUUCUUUUUUUCUAAAGAUUUUAUUUAUUUACUUAAGAGAGAGAUAGUGAGAGAGAGCAUGAACGAGGAGAAGGUCAGAGAGAGAAGCAGCCUCCCCAUGGAGCUGGGAGUCCGAUGCGGGACUUGAUCCCGGGACUCCAGGAUCAUGACCUGAGCCGAAGGCAGUCGUCCAACCAACUGAGCCACCCAGGCGUCCCGAAUGCGUCAUUUUCAAAUAUCGUUCAUUUCUUUUCUUUUCUUUUCUUUUUUAAACUUUCUUUUUAAAAUUUAUUUUCUUAUUUUUUAAAGAUUUUAUUAUUUAUUUAUUUAUUUGACAGAGAGAGAGAGAGAAAGACCACAUGUAGGCAGAGCGGCAGGCGGGGGGUGGGGGUGGGGGAAGCAAGCUUCCCCCUGAGCAGAGAGCCCGAUGCAGGGCUUGAUCCUAGGACCCUGGGACCAUGACCUGAGCCAAAGGCAGAGGCUUUAACCCACUGAGUCACCCAGGCACCCCAAUAUUAUUCAUUUCUGUUACUCCUCAGGUAAGGCAGGCUCCUGAGGUGUCCCCAAGGCACAGCAAACCCAGGAAAGCAGACAACCUUCCAAGAGCAGAUGGGCAUGCCUUCUUCCACUAACAAAUAUCACAUUCCACUCUGUUCAGUGGUAAAUAAGAGGUUUCCUGAACUUCUUUGUGAGGUCUCUUAUCCAGAGGGAGAAGAGCAAUAACGGGAGGGUGGAGUGUAGAGGGCUGGCUGCAAAAAAUCCCACGGGGAGUCAUCAGGGCCAAGGGAACGGCAAUCGAUUUCUGUGCUGGGACUCAAUAUUGGGACUCACAAAGUGUAGUUCAGAUGAACCUUACGUUUGUUCUCUUAUUGCCAUCUAGACUCGCUCUGCUGGGGAUCUUGCUGGCCCCCCGGUAAAACGUGCAGGAAGACCCAUCACACUUCAGGUCAUUUUUUUUAAAAACAAACUUUACUUUUGAGAGCAGUUUCAGGUACACAGCAAAACUGAGAAGACGGUAUCGAAUUCCCCUGUUCCACCUGUCCCACCACGUGCACGGCCUCUCCCUCUAUGAACAGUUCUCAGCCUGCAGUCAGACACCAGUCUGCUGCAUCUCUCAAGUGCCAAAGACAUUUAAGCUCUCCAAGUUGUGACCUUGAACCCCUUUCCCUGGUCUUGAGGUAAAGAGGAGACAUCCACUCCCCUCUACCUGCAGGGUCAUAAUAUAUCCAAAAUGUCUUGGUGUGGGUGAGGUUUGGAUACCUUUUUGCAUGGGUUGCAUGCUGGUGUUCCCCCCUCACUCUGGAAUAUGGCAUCUAUUUUCUUGGGACUUGUGUUAGUUGCAGAUAGCUAAAUUCAAUCUGCCUAUUUUAUGUAGGAAGGGAUUUUUCAAAACCCAGAAGAGUAAGCCACUGGGAAUGACUCUCACAGCUACCCUGCAGGGCGGGGAUGCUAAGGGAGCCCCUGCUCUUGUCGCAGUCAGGACCCUGAAGAAUCAGAAAACUUCCCAAGUAGGACGCAGCCAGCCUAGCUUCUGGGUCCAGCCUGAUCCCACCUCAGCCACCAUUCGCGGUAGCAAAAAUGGUUGCCUUUCUUCCAAACUUAAGUCUUGCACAUAUGCAUUUGACUGGUGGGGUCUAAAUUCUAUCUGGAACCCCGGCUGCCAGAAAGUCUGAGAAAAGAUUGUGCAGACCUUUUAUUGUGCAGAAAGGUCCAUGGGAAGAAGGGAGGAAUGGUCCACAGCCUCUGUCCCCAAAAAUCUCAGCCAAAACUGAGAUGAAAGCAGUUCAAAUUUGAAAAGUCUUUUUUUUUUUUUGUCAGUGAAAGACAAUUACAAACAUAUAUUCGUUGUUGUGUUAUGACAAAU